GAGGUACCGGUUCACGUCCAUCGUGGGAUGGGCGACCCGGCGACC
rfam:Amycolicicoccus subflavus DQS3-9A1, complete genome.